rnacentral:lncRNA from 1 species
UUUCAAGCAGUAUUUAACUUUAAAUUACCAGGGCCACUACUUAAUUUAAAGGGACCUACUUCUAGGAGCUUGAGAGGGACAGGGUGAAUCACAGCUGCUGGAGUAGGAAAGGAGGACUUUCUAAAGAAGGAGAGGACCUCUGAAAUUUUCCUGACAUAGUAAUUUUCUUUGCAGGAUGUGUACAUGAAGAAGGAUGCAGACAAUUAUUGUUUUGUUGGAACCAUUUCCAGUGAAAAAGGAAAAACUUUGGCCUACAUGUUUCUUACCUGAAAGACCUUCAAACAAGAGCUGUGGAGAACUGAAUCAUAAACUGAAUCAAGAACUGGGUCUGGCAUUCAGGGAUGACUGCACCACCUUGGCUGUAUUAACACAGUUAUCAUUUGAAGCCACUCAGAAGAACUAAAAAGAAAUUGCUGAACCUGUUCUUUCAUAUUUGUUUGGGACAAGCACUCAGCAUGCAUUGUUAUGUAUAAAAAGCCAUUUUCCUGGCUCCAAUAAUAAUUUUUUUUUUAAAAAAAUCCAUUAUAGUCAAUAAAUAUAUGCUCUGG